AUUGAACGCCGGCGGCAGGCCUAACACAUGCAAGUCGAACGAGUGGCGGACGGGUGAGUAAUGUCUGGGAAACUGCCCGAUGGAGGGGGAUAACUACUGGAAACGGUAGCUAAUACCGCAUACCAUCGGAUGUGCCUAGAUGGGUAUAGCUAGUAGGUGGGGUAACGGCUCACCUAGGCGACGAUCCCUAGCUGGUCUGAGAAGAUGGCCAGCCAGACUGACACUGAGACCCGGUCCAGACACCUACGGAAGGCGGGAGUGGUGAAUAUUGCACAAAAGGCGCAAGCCUGAUGCAACCAUGCCGCGUGUAUAAAGAAGGCCUUCGGGUUGUAGAGUACUUUCAGCGAGGAGGCGUUACUCGCAGAAGAAGCGCCGGCUAACUCCGUGCCAGCAGCCGCGGUAAUAC
rnacentral:rRNA from 1 species